rnacentral:rRNA from 1 species
ACUCCUGCGGGAGGCAGCAGUGGGGAAUAUUGCACAAUGGGCGCAAGCCUGAUGCAGCCAUGCCGCGUGUAUGAAGAAGGCCUUCGGGUUGUAAAGUACUUUCAGCGGGGAGGAAGGCGAUAAGGUUAAUAACCUUGUUGAUUGACGUUACCCGCAGAAGAAGCACCGGCUAACUCCGUGCCAGCAGCCGCGGUAAUACGGAGGGUGCAAGCGUUAAUCGGAAUUACUGGGCGUAAAGCGCACGCAGGCGGUCUGUCAAGUCGGAUGUGAAAUCCCCGGGCUCAACCUGGGAACUGCAUUCGAAACUGGCAGGCUAGAGUCUUGUAGAGGGGGGUAGAAUUCCAGGUGUAGCGGUGAAAUGCGUAGAGAUCUGGAGGAAUACCGGUGGCGAAGGCGGCCCCCUGGACAAAGACUGACGCUCAGGUGCGAAAGCGUGGGGAGCAAACAGGAUUAGAUACCCCGGUAGUCCCAUGA